CGAUGAACCACUUCGGUGGGGAUUAGUGGCGAACGGGUGAGUAACACGUGGGCAAUCUGCCCUGCACUCUGGGACAAGCCCUGGAAACGGGGUCUAAUACCGGAUACUGACCCUCACGGGCAUCUGUGAGGUUCGAAAGCUCCGGCGGUGCAGGAUGAGCCCGCGGCCUAUCAGCUUGUUGGUGAGGUAACGGCUCACCAAGGCGACGACGGGUAGCCGGCCUGAGAGGGCGACCGGCCACACUGGGACUGAGACACGGCCCAGACUCCUACGGGAGGCAGCAGUGGGGAAUAUUGCACAAUGGGCGCAAGCCUGAUGCAGCGACGCCGCGUGAGGGAUGACGGCCUUCGGGUUGUAAACCUCUUUCAGCAGGGAAGAAGCGAAAGUGACGGUACCUGCAGAAGAAGCGCCGGCUAACUACGUGCCAGCAGCCGCGGUAAUACGUAGGGCGCGAGCGUUGUCCGGAAUUAUUGGGCGUAAAGAGCUCGUAGGCGGCUUGUCGCGUCGGUUGUGAAAGCCCGGGGCUUAACCCCGGGUCUGCAGUCGAUACGGGCAGGCUAGAGUUCGGUAGGGGAGAUCGGAAUUCCUGGUGUAGCGGUGAAAUGCGCAGAUAUCAGGAGGAACACCGGUGGCGAAGGCGGAUCUCUGGGCCGAUACUGACGCUGAGGAGCGAAAGCGUGGGGAGCGAACAGGAUUAGAUACCCUGGUAGUCCACGCCGUAAACGGUGGGCACUAGGUGUGGGCAACAUUCCACGUUGUCCGUGCCGCAGCUAACGCAUUAAGUGCCCCGCCUGGGGAGUAC
rnacentral:rRNA from 1 species